GUGUGUUUGCAAAGCCUGCUAUCAACCUGCCUGCUUUCUCAUAUGCUGGUUUUGCUGCCCGUCCCGUAGGAGUUUGUGGAAGCACUUCCGUGCAGUUUCUCUCUGUCUCUUCCUGCUGAUCUUUCCAGCGUACAUGGCUUAUAUGAUCUGCCAGUUCUUCCACAUGGACUUCUGGCUUCUCAUCAUCAUCUCCUCCUCAAUCCUCACCUCUCUCCAGGUGCUUGGCACUCUGUUGAUCUGUUGUUCUCUUCAUGGUGGAGGAGUUUCGUAAAGCUCCAGUGUAGAACAUGGAUGAAGUCAUAUAUUGUGUUGCGGUGUGCGUGGUGUGCUAUGGUGUAUCAGAGACUGUAUUUGGCGAGUGGAGUGUGAUGGGAAGCACCAUCAUCUUGGUCCACUCGUACUAUAACGUCUGGCUCAGAGCCCAGCUGGGCUGGCAGAGCUUCCUGCUCAGGAGAGAUGCUGUAACAAGAUAA